AAGGGCACCACAAGAACGCGUGGAGCAUGUGGCUUAAUUUGACUCAACGCGGGAAGUCUUACCGGGUCCGGACACACUGAGGAUUGACAGAUAUACGCUGCGUUGCUCUCGAGCACGUGGCUCAAAGAUGCUAGUUCUUUCAUGAUUAUGUGAUAGGUGGUGCAUGGCCGUUCUUAGUUCGUGGAGUGAUCUGUCUGCUUAAUUGCGUAUCAAUAAUAGAGACCUAGUAUACGCGUAUUACUCGUGUGGUAGUGACCCCCUUCUCACGGAGGCGCGUGUCGCACAUACGGUAUACGCACUGGUCUCAGAUAGCAACGAACGUGACCGUAUUCUAUUGUUGCAGUGAAUUAUACGUGUGCUUUACAGCAUGCAUUCCCACUGCUUAGUGUGCGCUGUCAGUACUUGUUGCUGCUGCGUCACACAUUAAACUAUAGAGACCGCUGUUUCUUCUUUAAACCAGAGGAAGGAUACGGCAAUAACAGGUCUGUGAUGCCCUCAGAUGUUCCGGGCUGCACACGUGCUACAAUGAUCAUUGCACUGUGCAUCUAACCCAAUGUGCGCGGACGCCACGAUAUUAUAAUUGUCUUCGGGCAUUUUAUAUAUUCGCUUGUGCGACUGCGCCGAACCUACUUCGAAAGUAAAAUUUUUAAGUGGGUAAUCCAUUAGAAGUAAUGACUCGCAUAGACCAUGGCACACUAUAUGUACGCGCAGGUCUACCCGGCUCGCCUUUGUGUGAGUGCAGUGCGUAGCUUGUUGUUUCGUACGUGCCACUCCGUAUUAAUUCGUACGUGGGGAUAGAUCAUUGUUUAAUUGUUGGUCUCGGUCUUAACUAGGAAUGCCUUGUACGGGUCUUUGGUUCAACAUACCACCCGGAAUACGUCCCUGCCCUUUGUACACACCGCCCGUCGCUCUUACCGAUGGAUUAUACUAUGAAUCUAUAGGACUGCCAAAGCUUUGCGGCGUGUUCGCACACCGCGCUUAGUGGAAAUAUAUAUGAAUAGUGUGAUCUAAAGGAAAGAGAAGUCGAACAAGGCA
rnacentral:rRNA from 1 species